AGUCGACGGUGACGGAGGGCUUGCCCUUCUGAUCAGUGGCGAACGGGUGAGUAACACGUGAGUAACCUGCCCUUCACUCUGGGAUAACGCUGGGAAACCGGUGCUAAUACUGGAUACGACCUACUCGGGCAUCCGAUGUGGGUGGAAAGAUUUAUUGGUGGAGGAUGGACUCGCGGCCUAUCAGCUUGUUGGUGAGGUAAUGGCUCACCAAGGCGACGACGGGUAGCCGGCCUGAGAGGGCGAUCGGCCACACUGGGACUGAGACACGGCCCAGACUCCUACGGGAGGCAGCAGUGGGGAAUAUCGCACAAUGGGCGAAAGCCUGAUGCAGCGACGCCGCGUGAGGGAUGAAGGCCUUCGGGUUGUAAACCUCUUUCAGCAGGGAAGAAGCAGCCGGGUUUUCUUGGUUGUGACGGUACCUGCAGAAGAAGCACCGGCUAACUACGUGCCAGCAGCCGCGGUAAUACGUAGGGUGCAAGCGUUGUCCGGAAUUAUUGGGCGUAAAGAGCUUGUAGGCGGUUUGUCGCGUCUGCUGUGAAAUUUCGGGGCUCAACCCCGAACUUGCAGUGGGUACGGGCAGACUAGAGUGUGGUAGGGGAGACUGGAAUUCCUGGUGUAGCGGUGAAAUGCGCAGAUAUCAGGAGGAACACCGAUGGCGAAGGCAGGUCUCUGGGCCACUACUGACGCUGAGAAGCGAAAGCAUGGGGAGCGAACAGGAUUAGAUACCCUGGUAGA
rnacentral:rRNA from 1 species